rnacentral:lncRNA from 1 species
CGGGAAGGGACAGUCUGGUCAGAGGCUCAGGGAGUGGGGCUGGCAGGCUUUGGUCUCUGCUGGUCUCCCAGCCUGUGGCCGAUGCACGUCUGUUGAAUUUUGCAACAGUCCCCAUCCCCCAAGGAGGUGGUGCUUUCCCUGGCAAAAUAAGUGGAAAACAGCAAAGUUGCGGUAACGAAGUGGUACUGAGCUGGAGAGGGCCUGGGCUCCCCCAGACAUCACAGAAGAGCUUUUCAGCAACAAGAGGCGGGUGACAAACAGAAGCUCUCGUGACUGACUCAUCAUGUCCUCUCCCAAACCACGGCCCUUGACAUGUCCAGAGGGCUAGGAGUGUCACUGGGGCUAUUUUGGCUAGUUGAUGACAUUAGCAAAAAGGUAAAUAAACAUUCACCUUCCCCUCUAAAAAACGAAUCUUGGUGAAGACAAACCUCGAAAAGGAAACCAACCCACAUGCAAACAGGAAUAGAAAAUAUUUUUACACUCUUUGCACUUCAGCCCAACGGCGGUGAGGGAGAGAGAGGGUCACCCGGGGCCUGUCAGCGCAACAGAAUGAUUCAUGUGACCAUUUUGUCUUAAUUACUCAGAACAAGCUGUUGUUGCUGUUUAUCAAGGGAGAGCAGAUACAUCAGUGUCUUCUGACAGAAAAAGUGAUCGCCAUCAGGAUGGUGAUGACCACGAUGAUCCCUAGGAUGACGAGCAGGAUGCGGUUCUGGA